rnacentral:lncRNA from 1 species
UCUAUGGUUCCAGAUCUCUUUCCUAGGGUUUCUAUCUCCAGCGUUGCCUCGCUUUGGGUUUUCUUUAUUGUGUCUACUUCCCCUUUUAGUUCUAGUAUGGUUUUGUUCAUUUCCAUCACCUGUUUGGCUGUGUUUUCCUGCUUUUCUUUAAGAGCCUGUAACUCUUUAGCAGUGUUCUCCUGUAAAUCUUUAAGUGACUUAUGAAAGUCCUUCUUGAUGUCCUCUAUCAUCAUCAUGAGAAAUGUUUUUAAAUCUGGGUCUAGAUUUUCGGUUGUGUUGGGGUGCCCAGGACUAGGUGGGGUGGGAGUGCUGCGUUCUGAUGAUGGUGAGUGGUCUUGAUUUCUGUUAGUAGGAUUCUUACGUUUGCCUUUCGCCAUCUGGUAAUCUCUGAAGCUAGCUGUUUUAGUUGUCACUGUUAAGAGCUUGUUCUUCAGGUGACUCUGUUAGCCUCUAUGAGCAGACCUGGAGGGUAGCACUCUCCUUAGUUUCAGUGGGCAGAGUAUUCUCUGCAGGCAAGCUCUCUUCUUGCAAGGCAGGUACCCAGAUAUCUGGUGUUCGAACCAGACUCCUGGCAGAAGUUGUGUUCCACUCACUAGAGGUCUUAGGAUCACGUGUGGAAUCCUGUGUGGGCCCUUGCGGGUGUCAGGCGACUCAGCUGGCAAGGUAGCCGGGGCUCGAGUGGAGUGGAAGGGGUUUGUGCCCCAGAUCAAGCCCGGGUAGCCUGCUUCCCUAUGUACCGCAGUCUCAAGUUCCGCGCGAUUGGAUUGGGGCAGGCACUGUGAUCCACUCACCAGAGGUCUUAGGGUCCCGUGGGGAGUCCCGUGUGGACCCUUGCGGGUGUUGGGCAAGACUCUGCUGGCAAGGUAGCCCGGGGCUCGAGUCUCGAGUCGAGCGGAAGGGCCAUAGGUUAUUUCCUAAUUUUAAACCGAGAAGGCCAAGUCUUUUGGUGUCUACUGAUCUACCUGUGCGAAGUUCAGAAGCUCUGGUUUCCCUCACGGUCAUCCAUGUUCUGCAGAGGAGCCAUCCCCGAGAGCAUCUGCCCCCAAGUGCAUGUCAGCUUCCCGUCUGAUGGGCAGAUCUUUGCUUUAGACUCCUACCCUGUCCUAUUUACAACUCAUUGACUCUGUCCUCCUGUCCACAAGCACCAGAAAUGUCAUCAAGCUCAGAGCACAGCCCUGUCCAUGUGAGCAGUCUCCUUCAGCUUCCUUCUCCAUGCUUAUUUCUCAAUUUGAAUGCCAGGCAAGAUCAUCAUGGCUGACAGGAGAGGCUCCAGCAUGGAAUGAUCCUAUACUGAACAAAUCCUAUGAAGAUUCAAGGAAUAGACUCCGUCCAGGGAGAAGAAGGAACAGGCCAUGAGACCCAAGCCUCAACUCUUGCACAAGAAUGGGUGUAUUUUCUCCCAGAGAAAGAUGAUCCAGAAACAAUGCUUGGAAAGAAGGAGAAGGAGUGGAAAUGACAGAAAAGAAGCAAAAGGAAGAAAUAAUAAUUUUGAAAUCAUCAUAGGAUCCAGCUGUCCACACUCAGCGUUGUUUCUGGCCUCUAGCCGUGGCUUUGGUGACGUGAGUGUAAAUUUCGUGCUUCCUACGCUACAGUUUCUGAAAGGAGGAUUGGUUUUUAAGCAAGUAUUCAAAACCAGCUCCCAUCUCCCUUCAUAUCGGUCAAACAAUCCAACUUAAUCAAGAGCAUUCUAUUUGCUCAAAUGUUCUUGUGUUAUUUCAUUAAAAGGCUACAUAC